rnacentral:rRNA from 1 species
AUGAAAAAGGUGAUCAAAAUGGUACCAACAUCCAUUUACGAUCCCGAGUUUCCAGACACAUCGCACUUCCGCUCAGGUGGAGGCUGCCACUCGGCCCUCAGACGGAUCAGAGAAGAGUGGGGAACCUCUUGCUGGUUUUUGGAAUUCGACAUCAGGAAGUGUUUUCACACCAUCGACCGACAUCGAUUCAUCUCAAUAUUGAAGGAAGAGAUCGACGAUUCCAAGUUCUUUUACCCCACCCAGAAAAAGUUUUCCGCCAGAUGA